rnacentral:rRNA from 1 species
ACUCCUACGGGAGGCAGCAGUGGGGAAUAUUGCACAAUGGGGGAAACCCUGAUGCAGCCAUGCCGCGUGUGUGAAGAAGGCCUUCGGGUUGUAAAGCACUUUCAGUAGGGAGGAAGGUAGUGUAGUUAACACCUGCACUAUUUGUACGUUACCUAUAGAAGAAGCACCGGCUAACUCCGUGCCAGCAGCCGCGGUAAUACGGAGGGUGCGAGCGUUAAUCGGAAUUACUGGGCGUAAAGCGCAUGCAGGCGGCCUGUUAAGUCAGAUGUGAAAGCCCGGGGCUUAACCUCGGAAUUGCAUUUGAAACUGGCAGGCUAGAGUCUUGUAGAGGGGUUAGAAUUUCAGGUGUAGCGGUGAAAUGCGUAGAGAUCUGAAGGAAUACCAGUGGCGAAGGCGGCCCCCGUGGACAAAGACUGACGCUCAGAUGCGAAAGCGUGGGAGCAAACAGGAUUAGAUACCCCUGGUAGCGACUGA